UGUCUAUGGUUGUAUCAACCCAUUCACUC
rnacentral:piRNA from 1 species